CCACUUUAGGAUCUGUUAUUUUUGUCAUUAAAAUAAAGCUUUGUUAAUUUAAACAAAACCUGUCUCCUAAUGUCUUUACCUGACUCCUAGAUUCAAAGCUAAUUUGUGAAGCCCUGUCAUGUGGUAUUUAUUGUGCUUUAUCAUGCUGCCAUUUAUUUAUUUAUUUUUACCAAUUGCGACAAGUUAGUCGUAAAAAUGUUUUUUGGGGUUUUGUUUUUUUCUAUUGUUAAGGUAUAGAUAAAAUGGGUACAGAAAAUAAAGAGGGGAGAUAUAUGAGUUGGUCACACAUCAAAAGUACAGUAAUAUGCACAUUGUUAUAUAUACUCUGUGGCUUGACUGCCUCAUUUUUAAGUUUAUAACAUACAGGCUAAACUGACACAUUAAAACCUACAAUAUAACCAUGUUAGCAGGUAAAGAUAGUGAGUUAGAUGUGUGUUGCAAUGUAACGAUAGGGUAAAAAUAAGAUUAAUUUAACAAAGAAUAAUGAGUUGUUGAGCCAGGAGACAUGCUAGGUUAAGUAGUAUAUGGAGAAACAAGCUGAGCUAUACACAUGUUAAAUGCAUCUAGUUGCUCUGAAGAUUAGUGUUCACUGUGAUCCUGUGCUCUAGGGAAAAAACACUACAGUCAAGGUUAUAAGAGGCAUUAUGGCUUAGUUACAUGUACUGGAACACGGUGGAGUGAGUGUGCGAGACAUGAGGAAGUCUGUGUGUGGUAUUCUCUUUCAUCCAAUUCCUUCCGUCGGGAGGCGUCUGGAACCUGCUGAGGACCGCUUCUGUAAAGGUGCGGGUGAGGGUCUCCCUCCAGCCUCAGGCUGGUGUGUAGGCCUGCAUCUCUUGGCCAUAAACUCUGUGACUUCUGAAGCCCGAGUUUCCUCCGCGUAUGGGAGCGUAGGCGGGCCUUGUGUGUGGCUGCCACUUGCGGUGCAUGGGCCACCGCCAGUGUGGGAGAUGCUGUUGGGUCAAAGCACUCCUGUCCUUCAGCCUGGGUGGGCUAGGGAGAAUGAGCGUCGGUGGGUAUACGGGUGCUGUGGCUCCCUGCGACCCUGCUCAUCCGCUGCCAUGGAGCCUUGCUGUGUGAUCUGCGCUGCCUGCUUACAUCUCCGUAACCUUUGAACAAUUCUUCUAGGCACUGCAUGAUAUCCACGGUGGUACCAUGAAGGUGCUUUUGAUUUGGGAGCAGGCUCAGGUUAUGUGUUUUGAUCCAAAUGAGUUGCUCCGGAUGCACAGCGAGGACCAGGAUAUCCCCCACCGGUCCAAAGGGAGGAAGAGUUGAAGAAAUGAGAAUUUUGGGACUUUCAUGCCAGUGUGCGAGUGAGAAGAGCGGCCGCCUCUCCCCUGUUUGAUCCCGGUAGGCCUCAGCAGCUGAGCCCGGGCUCCCAGUUGGGUAUGAGAAGGAGUUUGGUGUCCAAGAGUUCACCCGGGUGUCCCCAGCACCACUGUAGCACUCCAAGUCUCGGGCGUACUGAUUUUUCUGGGGUUAUUUUUUACCCCCAAGCAGUGAGUUUCGUCAGGAGCUUGGUCUCGGGACGUCCG